GGGCCGCCCGCGGGUGCCCCCUUACCUGGUUGAGCUCGUUCUCGGCGGCGACGCGCAGCUUGGGGUCUAUGGUGCCCUUCAGCGCCUGGAUGAUCCUGUUGGGAUCCAUCUUGCUCUUCGCCCGCCGGCAGGCAGCGCUUUCCUGGGGCAGUAGGACGCGGAGGAGCCGCCGCUAGCGCCGCCGCCCCCCCGUGCCACCAGCGCGGGCCCGCGUCCCCCACCCCCCCCGGCCCCUCUGCACAGCCAUUCACCGGUUUGCGACAGCUGGAUAUCGGGAAACGGGCGCUGCUUUACGGCCGCGGCGCCGCCUUCUGGCUUCGGGAAGGGGUCGGCGAGAGGUGGCCGCCAUGUUGUUGUACGGAUAGGAGUCCGUCGGGAGGGCUCGCCGGCCGGGACUCCACGGGGGCGGCCAUGGCUCUGUAGCUUGGGUGUUCUGUAUUUGUUACCCCGCGAGUCGCUCGCACAAGAAUGAAGAGUGAGACCGCGGGAUCUGCGCGGGGAGGUCGGGCCCAUGGAGGAGAACUGGCAUUGGUCUCACUUAUCCCGGUGCCGCAGGGAUGACAAGAACCACUGAGAGCAGACAGGAAGACACAAAAAAUUUGCUGCAAGGAGCUGACUGAAAUGCACAGUUGGGUCACACGUCGUAAUUCCUACUCUGCUUCUGAGCAGGUUUCUCUGUGGUACUUGUCCUCAUCAUUAUGGAGAUUGGUAGGACCUGGAGGGGGUUUGCUUAUCUUAAUGCAGUUUGUGUGUGAGAGCGAGUGGGAGAUGCUUACCCCUCAGGUUGUCAGGAAUAUACAAACACCACCUCUAACACUUCAAAACUCAAAACACUUGUCCCACCCUAACUCUCCACCUCUUGCCUGUUAUUUUCCCCCUUAAAUCCUAGAACAUGCAAGUGAAGUAAGAUUUAAGCAUCCGUGGAGGUGUAAGAAAGAUGUCUGUCAAAGGUGUAAUUCUCGGGUAAACAGACCAGAAAAACCUCUGACUAAUACGGUUUUGGUGAGCCAAAUCCUUUGGUUACUUCUGCAGGUGAUGUUUUACAUAACAUUUACAAACUAGAGAAUGUGAUUAACUGGUAGUGAGAACAGAAAGACUGUUUGCCAUACUUAGGAGGAGUCAAACACAACAGCAAUUGCAAGAUCAUCCCAUUAUAUAGGUGCCUUAAUAGUACAAUUGGACAAUAUGUAAUUUGUUCAUUGUAAUUACAGUAUAAACCAAAACAUUACAGCGACUGGCACUAUAGUGACUUAAUAAUAAUUUUAAAGGUCCCUUAGUAACUUUGCCUCUAAUUAAAAAGAAAUCUAGCUGUCACAAUAAAUUGCACCUACCUGGCAUGUGGAGAUUGUGCGCUCUCUUGUGGUUUUCACCACCUUUUGAAGUGUUGCAGAACACCUGAUCAUUAUCUUUCCUUUCUCCUGUGAUGCAGCUCUACAGCAUCUAGCAAGAAAUCAUAUGCACUGUCAUUGACCUUUCCAUUUCUUCUUAAAAGCAGAUGCAAGUAUGCUCAGUAACUAUAAAAUUAAAACAAAAACAAUGUUAGUGUAAAAAGUAUAUAUUAUCAACUAUGGUAAUUCUUUGUUGCUGUCCCAUUUUGAUUAAGGUAAUAAAUUGUCCAGGGAAAACUGCCCAUUUAAAAAUUCUUGGAUUCCAUAUCAUAGCAAAUUCAAAUUGCUUUAAAGGAUUUGUAGUGGUGUAUCUCUAUUCCCUUCUCCCAAAUUAGCAUGUUAUGGCCAGUUUAAGAGCAGUGCAUGUGCAUUCAUCUGUGGUAAGUGAACCUAAAAGUUAUUAAAUUUAUUCGUUGAAGGAUUUCUGUAGAGCUAAUGAUGUAAAACAUAUCAAUAAAGAACAGAAUAUACUUAAAGGGUAUUAUAACAUCUGCCUAAAAUGUUUUUUCAGAAUUUUAUUGCACUUACCACUUGCAUUUAAAAUGGUACUUUUAGUGUUACAAGCAUUGUAGUCUACCUGUUUCCUGGGUUUGCUGGAUGCCCAAUCCUUCUUUCUGUACAACAUGAACCUCCAUAGAUACCACUGAUUAUGUUAGUCUAAAAAUAAGUUUAGUCAUUAACUGAAAUAUUUUUAUAUGACUUCAAAAACUUCAGGAUGAAAGUAACUACUUGUAAGCAAGAACUGAUAUGCCUUUUUGUUGGAGCAAAGAUUCUGUUAAUAUUUGGAGUUUCAUCUACUUACAGUGAAUGGUUGUCUUUGUUUUUUUAACCUGUUCUGCUAAUCUGCAAAUAAGGAAUCUGAGGUAAAAUUCA